rnacentral:rRNA from 1 species
CCUACGGGAGGCAGCAGUGGGGAAUUUUGGACAAUGGGGGCAACCCUGAUCCAGCAAUGCCGCGUGUGUGAAGAAGGCCUUCGGGUUGUAAAGCACUUUUGUCCGGAAAGAAAUCCCUUGCCCUAAUACGGCGGGGGGAUGACGGUACCGGAAGAAUAAGCACCGGCUAACUACGUGCCAGCAGCCGCGGUAAUACGUAGGGUGCGAGCGUUAAUCGGAAUUACUAGGCGUAAAGCGUGCGCAGGCGGUUUUGUAAGACAGGCGUGAAAUCCCCGAGCUCAACUUGGGAAUGGCGCUUGUGACUGCAAGGCUAGAGUAUGUCAGAGGGGGGUAGAAUUCCACGUGUAGCAGUGAAAUGCGUAGAGAUGUGGAGGAAUACCGAUGGCGAAGGCAGCCCCCUGGGACGUCACUGACGCUCAUGCACGAAAGCGUGGGGAGCAAACAGGAUUAAAUACCCUGGUAGUCCACGCCCUAAACGAUGUCAACUAGUUGUUGGGGAUUCAUUUCUUCAGUAACGUAGCUAACGCGUGAAGUUGACCGCCUGGGGAGGUACGGUCGCGAGAUAAACUACAANAGAAGUAGACGGCGUGAGACGUGCCGAACGGACGACGACGAGGGAGGUAGG